AAUGGGUUCAUGAGGCAGCUCAUUGAAUGGGAGUGGGAGUUUUCUUUGGAGGAAGUUGACUGAUGGAAGAGUGACCUGUCUGUAACUAGAGAUGCUCCAUUCUCCCUUCUUCUCUCAUAAAUGGCACUGGGUUUGCAUCACUGAUCACCACUAUCCUGUUUGUCUGUCCUCUAUUGGGUGUUGGUUUUCUGAGGAGGAUGUGAGCAUCCUAGUUACCGAUGGGCCCCUGUCAGUGUUGGGAAAGUGCCAUGAGUACUGUGUAAAUGUGAGUAUUUUUCAUGUUGAUUUUAAAUGUAUAGAAGUAGUUGGUUGCUGCUUCAUUGUAGGUAGGAAUGUGCUGGGGCUCUUUCAGGGUGUCAAAUAGGUUAGUUUAGCAAAGGGAGUGUGGUAUUGUGGUGGUGUGAGCAUUAGCAAUAAUCUGGUGUUUAUUGUUUGUGUGCCACAGGGGUAUUUGAGUCCAGAACUGAGGGAAUGGGCUGUAGCAAGUGUGCCCCGUUUGGUUUACAUGGGUUCUUGUAAAUAUGGUGCCAGUGGGCACAGAGGAGCUGUUUGCAUCCAUGAGAUCCUUAAGAGGCUUCAAGAGGUGCAGUUUGUGAAAGAAGGAUAGAUGUGAAGCCCCAUCUGGUGGAAAAAGAGUUAUGUGUGAAGAUGGGUGUCCAGUUGGGCAAAGAACAAGUGAAGUAGAAGUAUGCCUGUGGGGGACAUGAAGUACUUAUUCCCAAAAUGGAAGUGGAUUUGAUGUCAAGUUUGCAAGUUAAG